UGGGGAAUAUUGCACAAUGGGCGCAAGCCUGAUGCAGCCAUGCCGCGUGUGUGAAGAAGGCCUUCGGGUUGUAAAGCACUUUCAGCGGGGAGGAAGGCGUUAAGGUUAAUAACCUUGGCGAUUGACGUUACCCGCAGAAGAAGCACCGGCUAACUCCGUGCCAGCAGCCGCGGUAAUACGGAGGGUGCAAGCGUUAAUCGGAAUUACUGGGCGUAAAGCGCACGCAGGCGGUCUGUCAAGUCGGAUGUGAAAUCCCCGGGCUAAACCUGGGAACUGCAUUCGAAACUGGAAGGCUAGAGUCUUGUAGAGGGGGGGAGAAUUCCAGGUGUAGCGGUGAAAUGCGUAGAGAUCUGGAGGAAUACCGGUGGCGAAGGCGGCCCCCUGGACAAAGACUGACGCUCAGGUGCGAAAGCGUGGGGAGCAAACAGG
rnacentral:rRNA from 1 species